UAAUGGUUCUCAAGACAUCAGACACCAGGAAAUGAAGGCAAGUGAUAUGAGAGAGAGAGAGAGAGAGAGAGAGAAUAGAAAUGCAGUUGGCAAAAACCAUGCUUUUGCCAGAGCAUGAGUCAAAUCAUGGUUCGCUGCUGCCAUGGACAGUCUAAAGCAGCUCUACAUCCAUACACCUGGGAUUAAAAUGAAAGCAUAUUCUUUCAUUGUGCCUCUGCUCUUUAAAGAACCCAAAAUUCCUGAGUUCUCAAAAAUGUCACUACAGCAUUUCCCGCACCCCAAACAAGCUAACCAAAAGAAGAAGACCCGGAUCCAUAAAAUUAGAGAUAAAGAUGGUUAAUUAUAUAAAAUUCCAAGGAAAUGGUUGUUUGGGAAUAAUUCACAAAUUUAUAUUCUCAAAACUGAAUAUCUAAAAGAAAUAGCCAAUUCUUUGGCCCACUUGAUCUAUCAAGAAGCUGUAAAUAAAAACAAUUAUAAUCAGUAGUGUUUUCUCUAUGUAACAUCUAUGGUGAAUUCACUGAGAAAGAUAUCUGGGAAAAAAUUCUCACCAUAACCACAAAAUAAACAAACACAGGAAUAAACCUGUCCACAGAGGUGAAAGACCAUUACAAUGAAAAAUUUGGCCUUGAAGAAAGAAAUUGAAGACAGGAGAAGAACUGAAAAGACCACCUAUGCUCAUGGAUUAGUGAAAGUAAUAAUAAUAUGAAAGUCUCCAUCUAAACAAAAGCAAUGUAAAGAUACAAUUUAAUACCAGUCCUAAUGACAGUGUCCACAGAACUAGAAAAGCAAUUCCAAAAUGAUUUGGAAGCAUAAGCAGCAGAAGGCUCUAAACAGCGAAAGCAUCCUUAGGAAAAAGCAAUGCUGCAUGUUUCUCAAAUUCUAUUCCAUGGCCACUGGCACACCAACAGUCAUGGAGACCAGUAAGAUAGAGAACCCACAAAGAAAUCAUACAGUUAUAGAUAACUAUUUUGGGGUGGUGGUGGUGUGGAGGGAACAUAUAGAAAAUGCAAACUGUAGGAAAGACAAAUCUUUAACAUGUCGUGCCAACCUGAGUGAUGACAUGAAGAAAGGUAAAACUAUAUCUACAUCUCUCCUUCUGCACACAUAAAUUCAAAAUAUACCUAGUGCCUUAAUGCUUGACUGGAGAUUUUGUAACUGAGAAAAAACACAAGUAAAUACUUCAUGAUACAGGCAUAGGCAGAAUUUUUCAAACUGGACUCUCAACAGUGCAGGAUCUUCUAAGUAUGACAAGUGUGGUUCAAUGAAAUUAAGAUGCUUCUGCACAGUAAAAGGAACAAUGACGAGUCCAGAGUGAGCCUGCAGAAUGAAAAAAUACCUUUUUCUAAUUAUGCAUCAGACAAGAAAUUCAUACCAAGGCUACCCAAAGAACUGUAAAAUUAAGUACUCAAAGCAAGAACCUUCCAAUCAAUGAAUGUGUUCAUGAACUGAAUCAACAUUUCUCAAAGAUGAAAUAUAAAUGAUCAAUAAAUACUUCGAAGAGUGUUCAAUGGCCCUAGCCAUCAGAGAAAUGCAAAUUUAAACACAUGUGAGAGUCCAUCACUUGCUCUCAUCAGAUAUGGCAAAAAGUGCAGGAGAGGGUACGAGAGAAAGAAAUGGAAGCCCCCUAAAACACUGAAAUUAGUGCUACUACAUAACCCUUCUGUACCACAGGAACUCUAGGUCACUGUACCAUGCAUCAUUUCAUAGCUGCAAUAGUCAUUAUAGAUAAGGAACAGAACCAUUCUAGACGUUCAAGAGAUGAAUGGACAAAGAACAUGAAUUUCAUGUACAGUGGGAGCAACACAUUUGCAGGAAAAUGGAUGCCAUUUGAUCCUUAAUGUUUAGCAAAAUAAGCCAGGCUCAGACAAGUACUGAGAUUCCUUUCAUAUGCAGAUUUGAAAUGAUACAUGUGUGUAUGUAUAUCUAUUUGUAGGUCAUAAAGCUAGAAAGAGGGUCAUGAAGGGGAGUGGACGAUCUUAAGGGAGGUUGGACAUAGGGCAGUAAAGUAUACAUAACAGAUAAAUUGAAGGAAGUACCACUUGGGGAAAAAAAGAGAGCCAGCCAGAGACAGGAAGAGGCAUGGGGAGAAUAGUAGGGUAGAGGGAGGAAUGAUGUGUAUGAAGAUUCCAUAUAUAUCAUUCCAUUACAAUGUGUGCUAACCUAAAAAUUCAUUACAAAAAUACAAUUGUUUAGGGGCUUUCCAUAUAAAGGUAAAAUUAACUUUAGACCAGACACUACUCUCAGUUUUCUAAACAAAGUUUAAAUGCAAGAUUCAAAAGGAUAAAAUAAUGUCAAGGGGGAGGGGGCAUCUAACUGUGUCCUCCAAUCAAGUCCAAGGAUAUUUAUGGAAAUAUGGAAUCAUUUAGCAUUUGUCAAGACACAGUUGUUUCUUUCCUCUGUAUGUUCGAUGAGCUUCCUCCUUCCAUGUCUCCUGACCACUGCCAAAGGAAAGAAGGACCCACCUAGAGGAAGCCACACAUUGACAGAUGACCUACUUCUAGAACACAUUUCCUGGUUAAGAAAAUGGACCAACAUUCUCUUCAUUUGUUUUUGACUUCAGUCAUUUUUCAGGAUUUCAGGAGAAUUUGACUCACAGAAGCAAUAAACACUGGCAAUGAUUAAGAAAAGG
rnacentral:lncRNA from 1 species